rnacentral:rRNA from 1 species
CGGCGGACGGGUGAGUAAUGCCUAGGAAUCUGCCUGGUAGUGGGGGACGAACGUUUCGAAAGGAACGCUAAUACCGCAUACGUCCUACGGGAGAAAGCAGGGACCUUCGGGCCUUGCGCUAUCGGAUGAGCCUAGGUCGGAUUAGCUAGUUGGUGAGGUAAUGGCUCACCAAGGCGACGAUCCGUAACUGGUCUGAGAGGAUGAUCAGUCACAAUGGAACUGAGACACGGUCCAGACUCCUACGGGAGGCAGCAGAC